UACGGAGGAUGCAAGCGUUAUCCGGAAUGAUUGGGCGUAAAGCGUCCGCAGGUGGCUGUGUAAGUCUGCUGUCAAAGAGCGAAGCUCAACUUCGUAAAGGCAGUGGAAACUACACGGCUAGAGUGCGUUCGGGGCAGAGGGAAUUCCUGGUGUAGCGGUGAAAUGCAUUGAGAUCGGAAAGAACACCAACGGCGAAAGCACUCUGCUGGGCCGACACUGACACUGAGAGACGAAAGCUAGGGGAGCAAAUGGG
rnacentral:rRNA from 1 species